rnacentral:rRNA from 1 species
AUGGUAGUUCUUUCAGAUAGUCGAAUGACUUGGAAAAGUCAGUCAAAGAGGGUAAAAACCCCGUAGACGAAAUGUGGAAGACACCUAGGAGGAUCCUGAGUACGGCGGAACACGAGAAAUUCCGUCGGAAUCCGGGAGGACCAUCUCCCAAGGCUAAAUACUCCCUAGUGACCGAUAGUGAACCAGUACCGUGAGGGAAAGGUGAAAAGCACCCCGGAAGGGGAGUGAAAUAGAACCUGAAACCGUGUGCCUACAACAAGUCAAAGCCCGUUAAUGGGUGAUGGCGUGCCUUUUGUAGAAUGAACCGGCGAGUUACGAUUGCAUGCGAGGUUAAGUUGAAGAGACGGAGCCGCAGCGAAAGCGAGUCUGAAUAGGGCGUUUGAGUAUGUAGUCGUAGACCCGAAACCAUGUGAUCUACCCAUGUCCAGGUUGAAGGUGCGGUAAAACGCACUGGAGGACCGAACCCACGUACGUUGAAAAGUGCGGGGAUGAGGUGUGGGUAGCGGAGAAAUUCCAAACGAACUUGGAGAUAGCUGGUUCUCUCCGAAAUAGCUUUAGGGCUAGCCUCGGAAUUGAGAAUGAUGGAGGUAGAGCACUGUUUGGACUAGGGGCCCAUCUCGGGUUACCGAAUUCAGAUAAACUCCGAAUGCCAUUCAUUCAUAUCCGGGAGUCAGACUGUGAGUGAUAAGAUCCAUAGUCGAAAGGGAAACAGCCCAGACCACCAGCUAAGGUCCCAAAAUAUAUGUUAAGUGGAAAAGGAUGUGGGGUUGCACAGACAACUAGGAUGUUGGCUUAGAAGCAGCCACCAUUUAAAGAGUGCGUAAUAGCUCACUAGUCGAGUGACCCUGCGCCGAAAAUGUACCGGGGCUAAACAUAUUACCGAAGCUGUGGAGUACACCUUUAGGUGUAUUGGUAGGAGAGCGUUCUAAGGGCGU